UUGGGUUCUAGUGGCCGGCCAACUGUGUAAAGUUUACCUUUGCAAUCAAAAUUUCUGUAUAUAGAAUGUGUAUGUUUUAGAGGUGAAGGUUGCGGUGGUUUGAGUGUGUAACCACCAAAAAACUUAAAACAAAUUAGUUUUUAUAAUUGAGUUUUAUGUAUAAUUAGAUUGUAUUCCAUCACAACCUCAACAAAAAAAAAAAAAAACUAAAAUAAACACCAAUUAUUGUGAUAUUUGUAAAGUUCCUCUAGGAUUCAAGACAAUUGACUUCAAGAUUUCAUAGUGGGAAGUGUAAUCGAAUCAGUCUGAAUCUCUAUAUCCUGUCCAUCAUAGCUUAUAUCUGCAAUUCUUCAUACUAAUUACUGCUGUCUUAUCGUGAAUUUUAUUAACAUCCAUCCUUCCAACGCAGAAGCCUGCACCAAGGAAGAUGGAGGUAUCUCACUGGUUCAACUUUGCAGCACUAUUCUUCUUCUUUGUGCUUGCAUCAAAGCUUGUUAUAUACAAACUUGGAAAUCCCAAAAACCUCCCACCUAGUCCACCUUCCCGUCCUAUCAUAGGGCAUCUCCAUUUAUUAAAGCAACCAAUUCAUAGAACUCUGUGCGAGCUUUCUAAGAAGUAUGGUGACAUACUGUUUCUCCGAUUUGGGGCUCGUAAAGUCCUUGUAAUCUCUUCACCAUCAGCCGUUGAAGAGUGCUUUACUAGAAAAGAUGUAAUAUUUGCUAACCGCCCUCGUACACUAGCUGGAAAACAUCUCAAUUACAACUCGACAACCAUGGGUUUCUCUUCUUAUGGUGAGCAUUGGCGCAACCUCAGGCGCUUAACAACCAUUGAGCUCUUCUCUGCAAGUCGUGUUGCCUCGUUCUCUGAUAUUAGAAAAGAGGAAGUUCAGCUAUUGCUAAACCAAUUGUUUCGGGAUUCCAGCAAACAACAGGCUAAGGUGGGGCUUACAGCAAGUUUUAUGGAGCUUACAUUCAAUGUUAUGAUGAGAAUGAUUGCAGGAAAACGUUAUUAUGGAAAAGAAGUGGUGGAUGAAGAAGCGGGACAGUUUCAGAAUAUUAUAAAAGAAAUGGAGGCGCUGCGAGGGAGUUCUAAUAUGAAUGAUUUCUUUCCAGUACUGCAAUGGAUAGAUUUCCAAGGUUUGGAGAAGAGAAUGAUGGGGUUGAAGAAGAAGAUGGACAAAUUCUUGCAGGAUCUCAUCGAGGAGCACCAGAAAGUGAGGAGUCAGUCAUCUCAGUCCACCAAGAUAACCGGUUUGGGCAACCAAAAGAGAAACAUGACACUUAUUGAUGUUAUGUUAUCGUUGAAAGAGACAGAACCUGAAUUCUAUACUGAUCAAACCAUAAAAGGUGUAAUCAUGUCAACACUAACCGCAGGAAGCCAAACUUCAGCAGCUACCUUAGAGUGGGCAAUGUCGCUUCUCCUUAACAACCCGGAAACAAUGCGAAAGGCUUCUGAAGAGGUAGAUGCUAUCGUUGGAACAGAGCACAUAUUGGAUGAAGUAGAUGUAACAAAGCUCAGUUACCUCCAAAACAUAAUUAACGAGACAUUUAGGCUCUUUCCACCUGCGCCGCUUCUUUUACCACAUGAAUCUUCCGAGGACUGCACUAUUAGUGGAUUUCAUGUGCCCCGAGGCACAAUGUUACUGGUCAAUACUUGGAGCAUUCAUAGAGAUACCAAGCUGUGGGUGGAGCCAACAAAAUUCAUGCCGGAGAGAUUUGAAGGUGGAGAAGGUGAAGGGUAUAAACUGCUUCCAUUUGGUGCUGGAAGGCGGGCUUGUCCUGGGGCUGGUCUAGCCAAGCGAAUCAUAGGCCUGACACUAGGUGUCUUGAUUCAGUGCUUCGAGUGGGAUAGAGUUAGCAAAGAGGAGAUUAAUCUGACAGAAGGAACAGGGCUUACCAUUCCCAAAGCUGAACCACUGGAGGCGUUAUGCAGACCUCGCCAAUCCAUGGUCAACCUCCUCUCUUCCAUGUGAGUUUGAGUGGGAUAGAGUUAGCAAAGAGGAGAUUAACUUGACAGAGGGAACAGGGCUUCCCAUGCCCAAAGCUGAACCACUGGAGGCGUUAUGCAGACCUCGCCAAUCCAUGGUCAACCUCCUCUCUUCUAUGUGAAGCAUAUGGAUGAUUUUCCUCAAAUGCAGCUCUAUAUAGUUUAGUGCAUGCGUGAGUGAACACUUUCAAAACUCCACUUGCUGCAACUUGUAAGGGGUUCAAAUUUAGCGAUGCACAGAGCUAUGUUUACGGGGUGACCAGGUCCCUGCUUAUGAGAUUGCACAUUAAUUUUGAAGAUUUUGCCAGUAACACCAUAGCCGAAGGCUUAAUUCCGCCAUGUUAUAAGACCUCUCUACACCGUGCAAUUGAAUGUUUUUUGAACAGUUCUAUAUAGCCGAAGGUUUUUUGGUGACGAUUCCUUCGAUUUGGGAGGGUUGCUGCACCUUGACCUCAAGAUAUUUCAGUGCAAUCUUUCGUAGGUUUGAAAUUGACACCAUUUGGAGUGGGGAGGAGGUCAUGUCCCGGGGCUGGCCUUGCUAAUAGGGUGGUGGGAUUAGCAUUGGCUUCCUUGAUUCAAUGCUUUGAGUGGGAGAGAAUUCGUGAGGAGGAAGUAGACAUGUCUGAGGGGUCAGGAAUCACCAUGCUUAAAGCUAAGCCUUUGAAAGCAAUGUUCAAAGCUCGCAUGUCCAUGAUUGAUGUCCUUGCGUAGCUGGGAAUUCUGUCUGAUCACCUUUGCAAAAUAAUCAUUACAGAUCCAAAUUAGUUCCUCUACA